CCUACGGGCGGCAGCAGUGAGGAAUAUUGGUCAAUGGGCGGGAGCCUGAACCAGCCAAGUAGCGUGAGGGAUGACUGCACUGCGGAUUGUAAACUUCUUUUAUAAAGGAAUAAAGUGAGGGACGUGUCCCUGUUUGUGUGUACUUUAUGAAUAAGGAUCGGCUAACUCCGUGCCAGCAGCCGCGGUAAUACGGAGGAUCCGAGCGUUAUCCGGAUUUAUUGGGGUUAAAGGGAGCGUAGAUGGGUUGUUAAGUCAGUUGUGAAAGUUUGCGGCUCAACCGCAAAAUUGCAAUUGAUACUGGCAGCCUUGAGUACAGGUGAGGAAGGCGGAAUUCGUGGUGUAGCGGUGAAAUGCUUAGAUAUCACGAAGAACCCCGAUUGCGAAGGCAGCUUACUAAACUGCCACUGACAUUGAUGCUCGUAAGUGUGGGUAUCAAACAGGAUUAGAUACCCGUGUAGUC
rnacentral:rRNA from 1 species